AUCAUCGCAAUGCCGUUCUGCUGCGCCUAUCAAUGUAAUAGCAGAAGCGAAAAAGGAUUCUCGCUGUUCAACAUUCCGUGGGGAAAAAGAGAUGUCCAGCGCAAGAAGCAGUGGCUGCACAAUAUCGGAAGAAAAGACUUUGCGCCUACCAGAAGGACUUCUUUGUGUGAGCUCCAUUUUACUGAAGAUCAGUUCGAACCAUUGAUACUGCAGAAGUAUGGAAAAAAGAAGUUGAAACCAAACGCCGUUCCAACUUUGUUUUCGCACCGGCCGGCUCCGAAGCAACGAAAACCUCCCGCCAAAAGAUGCGAAAUUCGCACACACUUGCACCAAGGCAAGGUGAACUUCGGGACAUGUGAAAGUAGCAGCG